rnacentral:tRNA from 1 species
UUAAUUGAAGCCAAAAUAGAGGCAUAUCACUGUUAAUGAUAAUACUGAAAACUAAUUCCAAUUAAG